rnacentral:tRNA from 1 species
GAUAAGAUGGCUGAGGUUAGGCAAUAGACUGUAAAUCUAUUCAGGGGGUUAAACUCUCUUGUCA